rnacentral:lncRNA from 1 species
GCCAGUCUGUGUAUCUUGGACCCAAACCAUCCAGCAAUUUAUUUACUUCAUCCUCAUAAUUCACUUGUACUUUUGUCAAUUGUUCGCUGCAAUGUUCACCCUCUAUGGAAGUUUCUGCUCUUUUUUGUUGCAAAGCAUAAACAUUACGGUGAGAAGAAGAUUCAGAAGGAGCUAUAGUACUAGCACCAGUUUUAGGCAAUGCAGUGAUUUCAUUUCUCUUGUAAAUCCGUUUGUUAAAUUGUGGUGCUUCAGGAAGUUCAUAGCUGACACCUCUAUAUAGAGACAACGAAGUUCCCGACCUCCAAAUAACCAGUCCACCGGUUUUUCUCUGUUAAAAGAACAAAUAAGACAUGAUAAACGAUCACACCUUUAGUCGCAAAAAUAGAAAUCAUAUCUAUUAAGAAGUUUCUGGGAACACAAUGAUUUCUUACAAAGCUCAAAAUCAAAAUCUGAACAUCAAUAAGCUUGCAGGUAUUUUGAUCAUUCUGAAACAUUGCAAAAAAUUUAUCCCAGUAUCUAAUCAUGAAUGCUACAUUCAAAAUAGGCAUACUUGAUAUGUUUAUCCAGAGAAGAUGGUAGCACGCCAACAAAGGGAACUCAUAUACAAUUUCAUAUUUUCAUCAUUGGCUGAGACAUGGCUCUCAAACAGUUGUCUCAGCAUCAAUUGACUAUUCUUACAAUGAAAGCACACUGGGUGGAUAACUAAGCCCAUAUCCAGCCUAUGCUAGGAAAGGAACUUUGCAAGCAAGGAACGCCUUCCAUGUGGUCAUUUGAUCUUCUAUCUACCAUGGUAGUUUCCAAUCGGUUUAUCAUCACUAUUAUAACUACUUCAUUUGCUAGCUCAAUCGUCAGCUUUUUGUGAGAUAACAUUAUGAUUAUGGAAGCCAAAUCGCUACUAUUUUGCAAAUGCCAAAAAUUUCAUGAGCAAACAAAUAAAGAACUGCAAAGAAAGCAAACCUCCAAUAUCUCAUGCAUCCUUUUCAUGUUAAGUGCAGGAGGACCGAGAAUUUUAAGCCUCACAAUCUCUGAUGAUUUCCAUUUUUCAUGAAUGACAUCCACAACAGCUUGAGUCACUCCACCACCUCCUAUCUUCAUCUUGUGCCUUUUCUGGAAAGUCAAGUUCCUCAGCCUUCUCAAUUCUGGC